rnacentral:rRNA from 1 species
GACGAACGCUGGCGGCGUGCCUAACACAUGCAAGUCGAACGAAGUGGCGAACGGGUGAGUAAUACGUGGGUAACCUGCCCUCCUUUUUGGGAUAAGCCUUUGAAACGGGGUCUAAUACCGACUAAAGGGUGAUGGGCUCGCGGCCUAUCAGCUUGUUGGUGUGGAGAUUGCCAUACAAGGCGGUGACGGGUAGCCGGCCUGAGAUGGUGACCUGGCACGUGGGGACGGCCAUAAGGCCUAGGGUCGUACGGGAGGCAGAAGUGGGCGAUAUGGCAGAAAGGGCGAUGGCCCGAUGCCGCGUGUCCGCGUGGGGGAUGAGGGCUUUAGGGUUGUAACACUCUUUAGGUAUCGGACGGGUAGGUGGAGAAGAAGCGCCGGCUAACUACGUGCCAGCAGCCGCGGUAAUUC